rnacentral:rRNA from 1 species
GGCUCAGGAUGAACGCUAGCGGUAGGCUUAAUACAUGCAAGUCGUGGGGCAGCAUGAGUAGCAAUACUUGAUGGCGACCGGCAAACGGGUGAGGAACACGUACACAACCUUCCUUCAAGCGGGGAAUAGCCCAGAGAAAUUUGGAUUAAUACCCCAUAAUAUAUUUGAUAAGGCAUCUUAUUAAUAUUAAAGCUUCGGCACUUGAUGAUGGGUGUGCGGCUGAUUAGAUAGUUGGCGGGUAACGGCCCACCAAGUCUACGAUCAGUAGCUGAUGUGAGAGCAUGAUCAGCCACACGGGCACUGAGACACGGGCCCGACUCCUACGGGAGGCAGCAGUAAGGAAUAUUGGACAAUGGACGAAAGUCUGAUCCAGCCAUGCCGCGUGAAGGAUUAAGGUCCUCUGGAUUGUAAACUUCUUUUAUAUGGGACGAAAAAAGGGCAUUCUUGUUCACUUGACGGUACCAUAUGAAUAAGCACCGGCUAACUCCGUG